UGUACUUUAUGAAUAAGGAUCGGCUAACUCCGUGCCAGCAGCCGCGGUAAUACGGAGGAUCCGAGCGUUAUCCGGAUUUAUUGGGUUUAAAGGGAGCGUAGAUGGAUGUUUAAGUCAGUUGUGAAAGUUUGCGGCUCAACCGUAAAAUUGCAGUUGAUACUGGAUGUCUUGAGUGCAGUUGAGGCAGGCGGAAUUCGUGGUGUAGCGGUGAGAUGCUUAGAUAUCACGAAGAACUCCGAUUGCGAAGGCAGCCUGCUAAGCUGCAACUGACAUUGAGGCUCGAAAGUGUGGGUAUCAAACAGGAUUAGAUACCCUGGUAGUCCACACGGUAAACGAUGAAUACUCGCUGUUUGCGAUAUACGGCAAGCGGCCAAGCGAAAGCGUUAAGUAUUCCACCUGGGGA
rnacentral:rRNA from 1 species